GACGAACGCUGGCGGCGUGCUUAACACAUGCAAGUCGAACGGAAAGGCCCUGCUUUUGUGGGGUGCUCGAGUGGCGAACGGGUGAGUAACACGUGAGUAACCUGCCCUUGACUUUGGGAUAACUUCAGGAAACUGGGGCUAAUACCGGAUAGGAGCUCCUGCUGCAUGGUGGGGGUUGGAAAGUUUCGGCGGUUGGGGAUGGACUCGCGGCUUAUCAGCUUGUUGGUGGGGUAGUGGCUUACCAAGGCUUUGACGGGUAGCCGGCCUGAGAGGGUGACCGGCCACAUUGGGACUGAGAGACGGCACAGACUCCUACGGGAGGCAGCAGUGGGGAAUAUUGAACAAUGGGCGGAAGCCUGAUGCAGCAACGCCGCGUGCGGGAUGACGGCCUUCGGGUUGUAAACCGCUUUCGCCUGUGACGAAGCGUGAGUGACGGUAAUGGGUAAAGAAGCACCGGCUAACUACGUG
rnacentral:rRNA from 1 species